AUGGCAACUUCUUCUCCCUCGCCUACGGCGAUCCAGAUGCCUCCGCCGACCGCGACCAAGGAAGUCGACGACGGUGGCGAGAUAACAACCGCCGGCACGGCACCGCCAACAUCAACCCCCACCAUGGACAGGAUCAUGUCGAGCGUCACGAACCUUGCACAGCUCCUGCCGACGGGCACGGUGCUGGCGUACCAGGCGCUAUCCCCGUCCUUCACCAACCACGGCAAGUGCGAGGCCUCCAACCAGUGGCUCACCGUGGCGCUGGUCGCCGUCCUUGUCGUCAUGUGCCUCUUCUUCUCCUUCACCGACAGCCUCGUGGGCCGCGACGGAAAGCUCUACUACGGCAUCGCCAUGCCCCGUGGCUUCAACGUGUUCAACUUCCCCGGCGAGGAUGAGAGCCGAGAGUGGGGCGGGGGCGAGCUCCGGAGUCUCCGCCUCCGGCCCCUGGACUUCGUGCACUCCUUCUUCGCCGCCGUGGUUUUCCUCACGGUGGUAUUUAGCGACGUGGGGCUGCAGAACUGCUUCUUCCCGGACGCCAAUAGGAACACCCAGGAGCUGCUCAAGAACCUGCCGCUGGGCAUGGCGUUUCUGUCCGGCUUUGUGUUCACCAUCUUCCCCACCAAAAGGAAGGGCAUCGGAUUCAGCGACAAUACUCCUCGCAGGAAGGUCGAUCACUUAAACUAA
rnacentral:rRNA from 1 species